AGCCCGACCUCGAGUCCUCGGCUAGGUCAACGAGCGCUUUACGGACAAGCAGACCAGCUCUGGCGCUCUGCCGCUGAGGCACGGGAUCGAGCGGAAACUGUCUAACGAAUCGAGGCGGUGACGACGGUCGGCGGAGUGGGGCCUGGCCGGCGUGGCGGCGGCGCGGAGAAGGAGGGCGGGGGGAGGUAGAGGGAGUGGCCCCGCGGAUGCGCGAGGGGGCGCUCGGCGCGGCGGGCCUCGGUGCCAACUACGCCAUCGUUCGGCACCCAUGACCUCUCCUCGACGCCUACCUCCGCGAGGGAAGCAGCGGCUCCGUGGGAGGGUUCAUGCCGUCGCGGCGGCAGGUCUUACGAAACCUCGUCAACCGCAGAUAACUAGAGUAACUCGACUCGUUCCUCCGAUCUUAACUCGUGACGGCACGUUGAUCCCUGAACUCAUCGACACCGGCGAUACACGUCGUACACGAGUUGAGUACACCCGUACGGAGCAAUACACGGCUCACAUCGGUCUCUACACUACAGACGGGUUAAACGUCUUCAGGUUAUGGACUAUUACCUUUUUCUCACGCCGAGGCGGAAAUGGUGUUCACGAACCUCCAGCCGGAAUAGAGAUUCGUCGUACUACUUUCCAAAGUCCUUUUCCUUCCGGUACCACUAGGACACUUGUACCUACAGGUCGCCGACGUAAGGAACAAACUACAACGCGAAGUCUUAUUAGACCAAAGGGACUAAACGGUGAUAUAUUGUCUACAAACAAACCUACUCUUACGACAGAGUUCACUAGGUGAAGACCGAAAAGAAAACCUGCUCCACCAGUAGUUCCUGACCACGUUCUCCCGACAAUUCCGUGAGUAUAGUCUCUAUCCGUACUAAAUAUUUAGACCUAAUCUCUGCUACUUCAGAUUCAAUAGGGUCUACGUUUUCAAACGUCACGUCGACAGUCCCUAUAGGUGACAACAACUUCGAUACUAGCGUAGAAAGUCUCUCCGUCGAGUAGUAAACCUUCGGUACUAUACCACGUGGUCCGUACUUAAAGAACUCUUUUAAACGAGUGCGGUACGAUCAAAACGAUGAACCUCACGACUACACUAACUUUCCUUUUUCAGACGUCUUUUUGCUGUUACCGGACUUAAAAGACCAUUUAGUAGUCCAGUGUUACUUCAGUUGGUCCCGUAUGAAAAGUAGCUCGUCCGUGAUGUUUUGGAACCUCCAGUUGUUUCAAUAUCCCUAUUAGUCCUUCCUCACCUUUAGUGGAUAAACGUCUUACUUGUUAGUCGUAGACUCAAGAGAACAUGUUAACUAGUCAAAUCACAGUUAUCAAUGGGUAAAUUUUUGAACGCACUCCGUCAACUACAUGACAAAGAAGUGCCUCCUAGACUGUACCACUAACGUUUCGUUCGUUAAAAGAAUAUGAUGCAUAAACUAGCCGUAACCUGGUCUGGUCUAAGUCUUACCUCCAUAGACCACCUACUAAAACGACGAUGUAAACCCUAGAGGACAUCUUGCAACGAGCUUACGGAUCAUAAGACAGAAAACCUGCUGGUGAGAAGUGUCCGAGACCUCCUCCGUACGAGAGAAGAAGGAUUCUAAAGAUCGUUCCUUUGUGUAGGUUUCUAUCGUGUUCAAGAAGAUCUUGCAGUCUUUGGACUGCACCGUGACCAGCACAACUUCACGUGUCCCACACUAUCGAAUAGACGUUUGUAACUCUUUCUACCUGACAAUACAGAAUCACUCCGUCAUUGACGUUAGGCACAUUCUUAACUUAUACCGGUUCAUUGUCUUCGUAAAUACAAGGUAUCCUCGAUGACGAGAUCCUAUUUUCUCGUUUCUGGUCGUCUAUACUAGGUGGUACAACUUCACUACUACCAGCUCAAAACACUCUAGACGUAACUUGCUUUAUAACAACUAUUUUAUUAACUAGACGGAACCCUAAGACUCCUUCUCUUUAUAGAAGUGUUCAGGGAGAAACUAAGACGAGCACUCCGCGGGUGUCUCGGUACACCAUCAGACGAACAACAAAAGAUGGAGGUCGCAAUAGCCAUGAACCUUCGUAUACUACAGGUAGCAUCAGAAGUCUUGAAACUCGUUUUGUGUGACCUUUGACGGUCACUUCUCCAACGUAGGUUUUAGUCGUGUUAACGAGCCACCUCUCUUCCAAACCACCGAUUUACGGAACUUUACGAAGGACUCCAGGUCUCCCUCCUACACUCCAGGUAGUCGUCGCCUCUGGUUUCAGUUAAACGGUAGGCUUGGUACGUUUGCAGAAGAGGUCAAUUAGGACAACAGUUUAGUCGGUCAGGAUGAUAACCUAACUCGAGCAGGAAGUGGGGACGAGAAGUCUUAUUUAGUUUGGGAGAUGUGAGGUCCUUAUAGGUACCCGACUGACUAAGACCACGAGAAUAGCCAUCACAGACAAGUCUCAAACCGUCUUUCCAAGGUAGAUAGGAGGUUACAUCCGGUCAAGGAGGUCGCUGUGGACGUAGGUUAUACUCUAGGUGAAGUCCCCCAUAUAAGGGGAGAGACCCAGUUUUACCACUCUUAGGUAUAAAUUUCCCCUGUUCUCUUGAGUCGAAAUACUUUCCUCUCGGUCCAAAAUCUCUUCCUUGGUUUGGACGACCAGUACUAAGUUAAGGAUACAUAAAGUUGAACCCACGACCGCUAUGUGGAUUCUUUUGGGUACCUUGUUCAAACCACUCCUGACUCGCAUUGUUUUUGUGAAAGAAAGUUCCUUUUCUAAGACAGUCUUUCCCUCUCAAACUGAAACCACAUGCACGACUCUUCGGAAAGUAGAAUUCACCCUGACCCCGACCAGUUUUACCGGUUUGUUUCCAUAGACUAUCACGACCUAAAGCAGCACUCUUAGUAUACCUCUUCUGUUUUCAAGAUUACUGUGGCUUGUAAAACUCGAACCCGUUCUUUGGGGGUCAACCACUUCCUCGUCGGCCGUUUCCGCCCAGUUCCACCUCCAGGCUGCUCAGUUCACUUCUGCUUCUGCUCCGUUCUUGACCGCCCAUGUACCUCUCACCGCGAAGGGAAUAAUGGGCUUCCGCUGGCUCUAAAAGGUCUUCUACUACGUAGGAGAGUUGACAUAGGGCUAAAAGGCAAGAGGGAAACUCACAUUUGUAAUUCAACACAACCGGAACUCACUCUUUAGCCUUUAUUAGAACCUUUAUAACGUGGCGGUACCGGCGUCACUAUACGUUCCCUCGAUCUCUUACUUCUCUAAGAAAAGGUCGCUUCUUUUGCGGUGACCACCAAAGAUCCCCGUAGGCCAUCUGCUACUGCGCACCGUUGAACUUACUAAUCACCGUUGUACCUUGCGCCGUCUUUGUCUAUUAUAUGUGAGACCCAUCUGGUGAGCAAAGCUCUGUAACGCCAUUGUCUGCUACCCUAGCUUUGCAGCCCGGCCGAGCACGGGGACGACUAACCAUUGUCUGUUCCGCAGCCGCAGGAAACUACAACGAGUAAUCAAUCGACGUAAACCACUUCCAAAUAGACAUGAGCAACAAACUAAAGACACACGACUCGGCGACCAAAAGAAGAAGGACCUCUCGCACCGUUGGAUCAUGAUAGAUGAUCGAGACUAUUAUAUCACCCAUCGUAGACACCC
rnacentral:rRNA from 1 species